rfam:Prevotella marshii DSM 16973 genomic scaffold SCAFFOLD1, whole genome shotgun sequence.
CCCAAGGCGUUGCCUUGGGCUGACAUCUUACGCGCCUUCAGCGCU